rnacentral:rRNA from 1 species
GACAGAGGAGGCAAGCGUUGCUCGGAAUCACUGGGCUUAAAGGGGGAGUAGGCGGCCGGGUAAGCGCGACGUGAAAUCUACCGGCUCAACCGGGGAAUUGCGUAGCGAACUGCAGGGCUUGAGGGCGGUAGAGGAGGACGGAACUCUGGGUGGAGCGGUGAAAUGCGUAGAGAUCCAGAGGAACGCCGGUGGAGAAGGCGGUCCUCUGGGCCGGUUCUGACGCUGAGGCACGAAAGCGUGGGGAGCAAACAGG